rnacentral:SRP_RNA from 1 species
GCCAGAUGCGGUGGCACGUGCCUGUAGUCCCAGCUACUCGGGAGGCUGAGGUGGGAGGAUCUCUUGAGCCCAGGAGUUCUGGGCUGUAGUGCACUAUGCCGAUCGGGUGUCCAUACUAAGUUUCGGCAUAAAUAUGGUGACCCUCCUGGGAGUGGGGGGACCCCAGGUUGCCUAAAGGAGGGGGUGAACCCGGCCCAGAUUGGAAAACGGAACAGGUCAAACCUCCUGUGCUGAAUCAGUAUUGGGAUUGCGCCUGUGAAUACCACUGCACUUCAGCCCUGGGCAACAUAAAGAGACUCUGUCUCUU